UGCAGAUGAUGUAAAGAUAUUUGCUAUCUGAAAGAUGGUGAUGACACUUGAACCACCAAGAUCGCUGAUGCA
rnacentral:snoRNA from 1 species